CUGCUGCCUUCCGUAGGAGUCUGGUCCGUGUCUCAGUACCAGUGUGGGGGGCCUUCCUCUCAGAACCCCUAUGCAUCGUCGGCACGGUGGGCCGUUACCCCGCCGUCUACCUAAUGCGACGCAUGUCCAUCCUAUGCCGGAUCUCUCCUUUAACCUCCCGGGAAUGCUCCCAAAAGGUGUUACGCGGUAUUAGGCCGGAUUUCUCCGGGUUAUCCCCCUGCAUAGGGCAGGUUACAUACGUGUUGCUCACCCGUGCGCCGGUCGCCGG
rnacentral:rRNA from 1 species